rnacentral:rRNA from 1 species
CAGUCGCCGCGGUAAUACGAAGGGUGCAAGCGUUACUCGGAAUUACUGGGCGUAAAGCGUGCGUAGGUGGUGGUUUAAGUCCGUUGUGAAAGCCCUGGGCUCAACCUGGGAAUUGCAGUGGAUACUGGGUCACUAGAGUGUGGUAGAGGAUGGUGGAAUUCCCGGUGUAGCGGUGAAAUGCGUAGAGAUCGGGAGGAACAUCAGUGGCGAAGGCGGCCAUCUGGGACAACACUGACGCUGAGGCACGAAAGCGUGGGGAGCAAACAGGAUUAGAUACCCCAGUAGUCCCUGUCUCUUAUAC